rnacentral:rRNA from 1 species
UCGCCACCGGCGGACAUGCGGAUUAUUCGAUGCAACGCGAAGAACCUUACCAAGGCUUGACAUGGACCGGACCGCCGCAGAAAUGUGGUUUCCCCUUUGGGGCUGGUUUACAGGUGGUGCAUGGUUGUCGUCAGCUCGUGUCGUGAGAUGUUGGGUUAAGUCCCGCAACGAGCGCAACCCUCGUUCUAUGUUGCCAGCACGUGAUGGUGGGGACUCAUAGGAGACUGCCGGGGUCAACUCGGAGGAAGGUGGGGACGACGUCAAAUCAUCAUGCCCCUUAUGUCUUGGGCUUCACGCAUGCUACAAUGGCCGGUACAAAGGGUUGCGAUACUGUGAGGUGGAGCUAAUCCCAAAAAGCCGGUCUCAGUUCGGAUUGGGGUCUGCAACUCGACCCCAUGAAGUCGGAGUCGCUAGUAAUCGCAGAUCAGCAACGCUGCGGUGAAUACGUUCCCGGGCCUUGUACCACCCCGCCCGUAA